CGCGUGUCGCAGGGGGGGCGCGUGCGCGGGGAGGGGGAGGGGGACACGGGACGCACACGCGUGUCGGCGGGGACACGGCGCCGUGGGGGGGGGCGCGUCCCUGCCCUUAGCGUGUGCGGCCACACGCGUGUGCGGGUCCCGGUCGCAUGUGCGCACGCGUGUCAGUGCGUGUGCGUGUCCUGCUCACGUGUGUGAGUCCCCCGGGCUGUUUGCACACGCAUGUGUGUGUCCUGGUCACAUGUGCAUGUGUCCCAGUCGCGUGUGCACACGCGUGUCAGUGCGUGUGCGUGUCCCGGUCGUGUGUGCGUGUGUCCCAGUCACGUGUGCGUGUGUCCCGGUCGCGUGUGCACACGCGUGUCGGUGCGUGUGCGCGUCCUGGUUGUGCAUGCACACGCGUGUGCACGUCCUGCUCGCGUGUGCGCGUGUCCCGG
rnacentral:lncRNA from 1 species